rnacentral:rRNA from 1 species
UCGGCAUCGACCAGAGGGAAAAGGAGCAAUCCGCUUUGAGAUGGCCUCGCGUCCGAUUAGCUAGUUGGUGAGGUAACGGCCCACCAAGGCGACGAUCGGUAGCCGGACUGAGAGGUUGAACGGCCACAUUGGGACUGAGACACGGCCCAGACUCCUACGGGAGGCAGCAGUGGGGAAUAUUGCACAAUGGGGGAAACCCUGAUGCAGCGACGCCGCGUGGAGGAAGAAGGUCUUCGGAUUGUAAACUCCUGUUGUUGAGGAAGAUAAUGACGGUACUCAACAAGGAAGUGACGGCUAACUACGUGCCAGCAGCCGCGGUAAAACGUAGGCCACAAGCGUUGUCCGGAAUUACUGGGUGUAAAGGGAGCGCAGGCGGGAAGACAAGUUGGAAGUGAAAUCUAUGGGCUCAACCCAUAAACUGCUUUCAAAACUGUUUUUCUUGAGUAGUGCAGAGGUAGGCGGAAUUCCCGGUGUAGCGGUGGAAUGCGUAGAUAUCGGGAGGAACACCAGUGGCGAAGGCGGCCUACUGGGCACCAACUGACGCUGAGGCUCGAAAGUGUGGGUAGCAAACAGGAUUAGAUACCCUGGUAGUCCACACCGUA